rnacentral:rRNA from 1 species
GAUGAACGCUGGCGGCGUGCCUAAUACAUGCAAGUCGAGCGAAUGGAUUAAGAGCUUGCUCUUAUGAAGUUAGCGGCGGACGGGUGAGUAACACGUGGGUAACCUGCCCAUAAGACUGGGAUAACUCCGGGAAACCGGGGCUAAUACCGGAUAACAUUUUGAACCGCAUGGUUCGAAAUUGAAAGGCGGCUUCGGCUGUCACUUAUGGAUGGACCCGCGUCGCAUUAGCUAGUUGGUGAGGUAACGGCUCACCAAGGCAACGAUGCGUAGCCGGCCUGAGAGGGUGAUCGGCCACACUGGGACUGAGACACGGACCAGACUCCUACGGGAGGCAGCAGUAGGGAAUCUUCCGCAAUGGACGAAAGUCUGACGGAGCAACGCCGCGUGAGUGAUGAAGGCUUUCGGGUCGUAAAACUCUGUUGUUAGGGAAGAACAAGUGCUAGUUGAAUAAGCUGGCACCUUGACGGUACCUAACCAGAAAGCCACGGCUAACUGCGUGCCAGCCGCCGCGGUAA